GUCUUUUUGAAUUAAAUUUAAAGUCUAACCUGCCCACUGAAAAAUUUUAAAUGGCCGCAGUAUUCUAACUGUGCAAAGGUAGCAUAAUCAUUAGUCUUUUAAUUGAAGGCUGGAAUGAAUGGUUGGACGAAAUAUUAACUGUUUCAUUUAAAUUUUUAUAGAAUUUUAUUUUUUAGUCAAAAAGCUAAAAUAAAUUUAAAAGACGAGAAGACCCUAUAAAUCUUUAUAUUUUGUUUAUUUUAAUUAUAAAGAUUAUUUUUAUUAUAAUAAAUUAAAAUAUUUUAUUGGGGUGAUAUUAAAAUUUAAAAAACUUUUAAUUUUAAAAACCAUUAAUUUAUGAAUAAUUGAUCCGUUUAUAACGAUUAAAAAUUUAAGUUACUUUAGGGAUAACAGCGUAAUUUUUUUGGAGAGUUCAUAUCGAUAAAAAAGAUUGCGACCUCGAUGUUGGAUUAAGAUAUAAUUUUGGGUGUAGCCGUUCAAAUUUUAAGUCUGUUCGACUUUUAAAUUCUU
rnacentral:rRNA from 1 species